CCUUCCCACUCUGGCCCCCGCGGGAGACAUGUUAGGUAGCGGGACGCCAACCUUGUCACUCUUCUGAGACCGCCACCCAGUAACACGCCCUGCUUUCCUCCGCCGCCGCCGUCUCCUCCAUCAACUGUCUCCUUCUAACAUGUUAUUGCAGUUAAUAAAAAAGCGUUCUUUUCUUCA
rnacentral:lncRNA from 1 species